CUGCGAGUGAAGCGGCAUAAGCUCAAAUUUGAAAUCUGACGUCUGAUCGGGCGUUCCGAAUUGUAAUUUGGAGGAGCGGCUUCGGGAACGGCACCGUCUCAAGUUCCGUGGAACCGGACGUCACAGAGGGUGAGAAUCCCGUGUCUGGACGGGAUAGCCUGUUCCCAUGCGAAGUGCUUCCGACGAGUCGAGUUGUUUGGGAAUGCAGCUCAAAAUGGGUGGUAAAUUUCAUCUAAAGCUAAAUAUUGGCGAGAGACCGAUAGCGCACAAGUAGAGUGAUCGAAAGAUGAAAAGCACUUUGAAAAGAGAGUUAAAAAGUACGUGAAAUUGUUGAAAGGGAAGCGCUUGAGAUCAAAACUCGGUCUUUGGUGAAGCAGUGAGUUCGCUCGGAGCCUCUCACCUUUGACCGGGCCAGCAUCGGUUUUGAUGGCGGGAGAAACGAUAGGGGAAUGUGGCUCUCUUUGGAGAGUGUUAUAGCCCCUGCCAAAUACCGCCAGUCGAGACCGAGGAACCCCCGCGCUUCGGCUAGGAUGCUGGCGUAAUGGUCUUCAGCGACCCG
rnacentral:rRNA from 1 species